ensembl:lncRNA
CUGGUAUCAGGAGCUACUGAUACCAGAAACUAUUUCACUCAGGAGCUACUCCUGUGACACCUGUUGGGGAGGCAAAUGCUAAGAUCCUGGAUCUUAUGACUGAGGGUCCCUGCCAGAGGGUGACUCUGGCUGGCCAGAGUUCCCUUCCACCUUGCGACUGUUAAAUUUGUAUGCCAACCUGACUGGGCUAAGAGAUGCCCAGAUCGCUGGUGAAACACUAUUUCUAGGUAAGUCUGUGAGCAUCUUCAGAAGAGAUUAGCAUUUAAAUUGGGAGACUAAGUGAAGAAGACCACCCUCACCAGCACAGGUGGGCAGCUUCCGAUCAGUUAGGAAUGGAGUAGAUCAAAGAGGCAGAGGAAGGGCAAAUUAGCUCACCCUGAGCUGAGACACCCAUCUUCUCCUGCCCAUGGACUUUGGUGCUUCUGGUUUUCAGGCUAUUCGACUCAUAUUGGGAUUUACAUCAUCACCCCAAUCCUCAGAUCUUUGGACUCAGAGGGAGGCUCGGGUUUGAUCCCUGGUCAGGGAACUAGAUCUCUCAUGCUGCAACUGAAGAUCUUGCAUGCUGCAAGGAAGAUCCCACACACAGCAAGAAAGAUCCUGCAUGCUGCAACUAAGACUCAGUGCAGCCAAAUUAAAAAAAAAAAAAGAUCCAGCUUCUGCCUGGCGCUCUCAGGACACUUGCCUUGGAACCCAGCUUCUAUGCUGUGUGGGAAGUCAAACCAGAUGUGGAGGCUCAAGUAAAGAGGACUGGAAAGCCUCAGCUGAAAGCCAGCAUCAACUUCCAGAUGCAUGAAUGAGCAAGCUUUUAUAUGGCUCCACUCCCAAGGCCUGGACUUCCAGCUGAAGUCCCAGACACAGUCACCAUGCUUCCCACUAUGCCCUGUUUGAAUUCAUGACCAAUCCCCACACCCCCAAACUACAGGAGAUAAUAAUAGGUGAUUAUUUAAGCCACUAAAUUUUGGAGCAAUUUUUAAAAUAGUAAUAGAUAACUAAUAUGGUCAUCUUGGUUGAGAUGAUAUUUUGCUGAAAGAGAAAACAUAGAAGUAUCUAAGCAUGGAAGUUAAAAAUCUAUUUUCUCAGAAAACGAAAGUGAAAUGGAGCAGGACUCUGUGGUAUUUGCCCCUCCCCACCCCCAAAGUCCUCUGCCCGCCUUAGUCUAUGGGAAAAACUUAGCCAAAGAAUAAGUUUAAUCAGAGAAGUGAGAACAUGCAGCAACAAAGGAAAACAGUCAAAGGAGACGAAAUGAUAAUAAUAUAGUCAUUAAGAAUAGUCAAGGACUUUUAGUUCCUUCUCAAGGGCUAUAGAUAAUUUUCUGAGUCACAUUCUAUGAGCUGCCUUGUAGAUACUAAAACCCCCACCAGGUGGAGAAGUUAAUUACAUGAUGACCAGACGGUAACCAUGAUGUAAGUUGCCACAAUUCUGAGAACUGGCCUCAAGAAAUGGAAACAAACUGACUCUGGAACUGAAGACUAACUGUACUUAUAACAAGAUGACGCUUUUCAGACCACCAAUGACCAACUUCAAGAUGACUGUCUGAUUUGAUUGCAGUUUCUGCAGGUAGCCCUACUCUGCCUACAAAGGCUCUAAAACCUCUUGCCCACUGAUUGUCAGGAGGGGAGUCAGCCUCUGGACAGGCACCCCAGGCAUCCCUACUUCUUACCCCUACUCCCACUGGUUGCUGGCAUCCAAAAUAAAUCAAACUUUCCUUCCUACCAAUCUGGCCUCUUUAAUGGCUUUUGAGCGGCAAGCAGCUGGACCCUGCUUUCAGUAACAAAAGUAGGGGAAGAACUAUUUGGGAAGCUGAACUAGACAUUGUCAGGUAGAACAGAAAACAUGGUAUCUCCAAGUGAUUGUUCAACCUUUAAAUGCUCUUCCACCUAGAAAAAUGGUGAAAACAAAUGUAUUAGUAUUCAAUUGCACCUAAGGAUCUGGAGCUCAGCUUGGGAAGUUGAAUCAAUUUUGGCUGACACUAAAGCACAGAUGAUGCAAUGUG